GGGGCACGUGGGAGAGGAGAAGACAGGAAGACAGCAAGUUUCAGAGGAAAAGGCUGGGGAGGCUUUGUGGAUGAUAAGCACCACCCCAGCAGGCUUGGGGGAUGAUGGACUAGGGCACUGGCGAGCACCACCUCGUGCCUUCAGAGAUGUCCCCUGGAAGUUCGGACAGACUGGAAUGUAAAACCAACUGAUAUCCAGUUUCAAGAAAAGUAAUCAAGUCGACGGUCUUGAUCGCCGUGCACGGAGAGGUCACGCGUGACCAUUCUCUAACCUGCGGGACUCUGAUGAUGAUUUAGAAGGAAGAACACAUGUAGAACUGUGGAGUUGUCCCUAAAACAAGCAGCAGCAGUCAGGACACUAAAGAGGGAGUAUGAGCGGCUGAGUCAGGAAGAGAGAAUAAGCGCAAGGCCACAUCUCCGUGAAGCUCCAGCAUGGCUUGACUUCGGUGCUGUUAGCGGAGAUGAGAGGGUGAGAAGAAAAAUGGAUUUCUGGAGUUGAUAAGAUGCACUUCAUUUGCAUAAUACAUUCCCACAUGGAAGCAUCAUAACUAUACAGACAGGCUAAAGACUUUUCGGGCCCUCCCUGUUUUUCUGGUGUUGUAUGUGCUAUGACGCACUUGUUAGUGUGGGUAUGUGCGUCUGCGCUUGAAGGUGGGCAUGUGUGUGGAGGCUGGAGGUAAAGACCAGCUCCAGGAGUAUUCCAGCCGGCUCAGACACUAAGACAUUUACUGAGAAGAUGUCCGAGACAUAGGCUACUGUGUCUAGCCAAGGACUGGGAGAGACAGGCUCUGGGGCAGAUACGCAGCGAUGUCCUACAGAGCCCCAGUGAGCAGUGACAGAGAGGACAUUGGCCUCAUGUGCCUGGACAUGCUGCUCCACCUGUCAAGAAGUAUCAGUCAUCUGAAAAUGGACUCUUCCUGCAGAAGUUGUGUUGUAAGGAAAACAUAGAGCACAGCGGGAGAGACUACUCGGAGAAGAGUGCUUGCUGCGUAGACCUGAAUUUGAAUCCAUAGAGCCAAUGUAAAAACCGCUGGACAGUGUACACGAGCAGCGCAGUGCUGGGCUUAGAAACAAGUGGAUCCCAGGGAUAUACUGACCAACCAGUCUAGCCAAAACAGUGAUUCCCAGGUCCAGGGAGAGACCUUGCUUCAAAACCAUAGAGGCAUCUUCCAAGGUGGCUACAGUCUGUCUUCUAAUCAGCGAAGACUGCAAGCCCAUUGUUCUGCAUCCACCAGUGUUUAAUGUUGUCUCUUUCCUAGAUUUUCUGCUUAAUAGUUAUGCAGUGGCAUCACAUCUUCACUGGUACUUUUGUAAUGGCAUGUCAGGAGGAUGCUCUUUGCCAGCCACAUUCCAUCAUAAGUGAGGCAUCUGUUAAUGUCUUUAGCCCGCUUUUGAGCUGGCUUGCUUGUUUCUAACUAUUGUUGAGUUGUAGUUGUUUUUUUGCAUGUUUUAGAAAAAAGUUCAUCAGAUAAGUCUUUUACAAAUAUUGUUCAUAAUGUGUGGCUUCAUUUUGUUAUUUUGACAGCAUCAAUUACAGACCCUGAAUGCAAAUUUAAUAAAAUUCACCUUAAUAUUCCUUCUUACAUAUAUCAUACUUUUGGCAUUGACUGCGUCUAAAAGGUUAUUUUACAUUAUCUAUGUUUCCUCCAAUAUUGCAUUUUAGGUGUCUUAUACUUUUGAAUUUUGGAUUUGAUUAUGCGAUUCAUCUUGAAUUACCUUAAGGGUAUGUUUGUGUCUAUGAAUACUUAGUAAAUCUACAGAUGUUCAGUUGGAAAAGCACCAUUCACCUGUGUCUCACCUAUUGUUCUCGCCUUACUCUUUUGUCAAGGAUCAGUUGCCUGAUUCUUGUGAACCUUUUCAUAGGUCUCUAGUAUGUUCCAUUGAUCUAUUCAAUUAAUUAUUCACAUAUACCAUACUGUUUUGACUACUAUAAUUUCAUAAGCCCUGAUGCCAUGUACAGAAGUCACCUGCAAUACACAUUUCAAAGCCUUUAUAUGAAUGAGGGAAUGAUCUACGAUGACAAACUUUGUCCCCUGCUUCUUAGUCUCCCAUUGUGGGUUAAUUGCUUCCAUCCAGGAUAGACAGAAUAGUAGAAUAGAAUCAAUUUGCAGCCAUGAAGCAGAGAGGGGGCAACUCAACCCAGGAAUAGAUAUGACACCAUUGAGAAAAUGAUCUAUUAAGUUUCUAGAGCUAAACAUUCACACAAGGGAAAGAUUGGUACUAAAAAAAAUGUAGAUGGGCCAGCACUGGCUUUUGAUAAGACUUACCAUGUAUCAACCAUUCACAGUGACACAUCCUAAGAAUGGGUUUCAAAAUGCAUGCAAUAGAGAGUCUACACAAAUAUGGGGAGAAUAUGAAGGAUAAAAGUACUGACAACAUGACAUGUUUUAAAAGUUAUUCAUUAUUAGCAUUGUGAAAUACCUGAAAAACAUUUGUGAUUUCUGUAUGGCUUGUUUUAGUUUUUAACAAAAAUUCUGCGUUGGUGUUAAACAGAUUUUCAACCCUCAACAAACCAGAUGGCUAAUCCAAAAUUAUUACAUGAAAUAUGAAUAGCAAACUAAGAACUGUACUCUGCUAAAAGAUAAUGAGAAUUUUUUAGCAUUUACAUUUUUACCAAAUAACUUAUAUUUCUAUUUCAUUGGUAUCUACUUUGGAAUUAUAAUGAACAGUCUCAGUGAUAAUUACCAAAUAUCUAUAUUUAGGGAAAAGUAGCACAUGUGUAUCAUAAAUAAUAGCACAAAUUCAUAUUUCUGAAUUGCCUGUUUUGCUAGAUAUAGACAUUUGGUAAUUAUCACCAAGGUUGGCAUGUAAAAAGGUGUUUAUACAAUUUCAAAAAUGCAUAAUGCCUAUCCAAUAGACCAUGCAAUCAUUAUGUUUUGCAAUUGAAACCCAUAUCCAGGUAUGUUAGAAUAAGGUGAGGUCUUGGCUCAUUAGAUGUAAAAGGAAGGUGUGUACUUCAGCUUGGUGAACACGAUUGCUUUGUGAACCUCUGAGACAGCUUUGUCUAUGACUGAUAAAUCACUUAGUAAUCCAAUGCUAAAAUGUUUACUGCUCAAAUAUUAUUUUUGUACCUUGGCACAAAGAAGUUCAUUAAUUCUGCAUCACUUAGUCUCCUGUAGCUUUUAGUUCUGACUUAUUGCCUGAUUGGCAGAGAAACUUCCAGCAGAGAAGGUUUAACAUAACCUGGCUCAGAAAGGGCUUGCUUUUGGCUCCUCACCUGGUAUAACGGAUGUCUGAUCUCUGUCUCUGUCUGUCUUUGUCUCUCUAUUUCUGUCUCUCUCUGUGCCUCUGUCUCUCUCUCAGUCUGUCUGUCUAUCUCUCUCUCUCUUCCUCCCUUCCUCCUUCUCUCUCUCCCUGUUGCUUAGGUAGUAUGCAGAGCAUACAUACAGAAAACACAUACAGGAAGCCUUUGGAAGAUAUGAUCGAUUCUAUAUAUUUAGUGUUGCCAGAUCUUGGCAGUUAUUAUGUUGAACACAGAAAGACACAUGAAACACACUCAACGUUACCAGGUGACACCAACAACAGUGAUGGCAGCUGUGACUUGGACAAUGGAGAAGACCAACUGUCUGGCAGUGAGGAAAGAAAGUCAAGUUCCUAAACUGCAGCUACCUUGCUUGUUGCCAAAGCAGGAAGGUGGUGCAUCUCAGCGGGUCGCUAAUGAGAAGCAAAGGAGAAAAGAAAGGCAGUGCCAAGAGGUGUAAGAUAAAAGAAGGGAGAUAAUUAAGAGGUAGAAUUUAAACUUCAAAUGUAAUCCAAAUUUUUAGCAGUAAGAAUAAGGAUCCGGGCCAAUUUGAAUUAACUAUUAACAUGAAUUUGACAACUGUGUGUGAGAUGCCUAGAAGAAAACUGUAUCAUAGUAGAGCAAAAGGAACAGAAAAUAAGACCAAUGGGAGUCAAACCUUAGUUAACAUAACAAUUAAAGGAACUGUCAUAACAACUUCCAGGAUAAGUCAGUGUGACAUGUUUGUGAGUUCUUGGCAGGGUUCUAAGAAUCACUUUUUUUUUGCUGUGUUAAAUAUCUUUACAUAUUAAUCCAUCCUAUAUGAUGAAAUGCAAUAUACUAUGUUACAUAAUUAACUGUAGCAUGCAUUGAAGAGCCGUUCUCUUCCUCUCAUACAGUGAUUCAGGUUAUCAUUGAUGUUAUCUGUUACAUCAUGGGGCUUUGCUGCUGUAGUAGUCUUCAGUGAAUGCAGAAUAAUGACCUCAUAUUCUUACACGAAACUCCACACUCACCUCUUUCUCCAGAUGUUCACUUGUAAUGAAUUUUUUAUGAUGUGCUAUGUCAAAAUUUUUGGUUAGUAUUCAAUCAAAUAUCAACCAAGGUGUCGCAUGAAGGAAAUUUACAAAAGUAAUAAUAACUCCAUAACCAGCUGACUUCUGGCCCCAAGAUCAUCCUGGACAUCCUUAUCUAUGGUUAGAAAACCUUCAAGAGCAGAGCAUAGGCUUUCAUGAGAAAGAAAGCUACGUUCCCUUCACCUCUGCUGGCUCUCUUUGUGUUCGGAAAAGUGAUUGGCUGUUUAUCAGUCACUAUUUUUUUUUGUUUUUUUCGAGACAGGGUUUCUCUGUGUUGUUUUGGUGCCUGUUCUGUAUCUCACUCUGUAGACCCAGCUGGCCUCAAACUCACAGAGAUCCGCCUGGCUCUACUUCGCAAGUGCUGGGACUAAAGGCAUGUGCCACCACCGCCCGGCUAGUGUUUCUUUUGAAGUUUCUUAUGUACUCUAAAAAUUAUCCCCUCUAGGUGUGUAAUUGUCAAGGAUUUUCCUCCCUCCUAUAGACCAUUUCUUCACCCUGUUGUUUCCUUCGUUGUGAAGAAACUUUUCAAUUUCAUGUAAUCUCAUUUGGCAGUUAUUGAAAUCUUUUUCUAAGCUACUGGAGCCCUACUUCAGAAAGUUCUUGAUAUACAUGCAUAUUUAAGUGUCUUCACUGUUUUCUUACAGCUGUUUACAGAGCUUCAGGUCCUACAUUAAUGUUUUUAAUUCAUUGAAAGUUGAUUUUUUUAUAGACUGAGAAAAUAUUGGAUACAAAACAAACAGAACAAAAUCUGAAGAGGCUGUUGCAGUCUAGGCAAGCCCCUCAUACAAGGCUGGUGGGUAUGCAAAUGAGUACAGCCUUCAUAUCUCCUGGCUACUCCGCUCCUAGGGAUAUACCCAAAGGAGCCCUAGUUGACAACCACAGACACCUGCUCAUUCGUGGUUAUUGAGGCACUGCUCAAAACAGCCAACUUACAGAGUGAGUCUAGGUGUUCAUCAACAAACAAAGAGAAAAGGAAAAUGUGGCAUAUCCAUGCAAUGGAGUUUUAGUCACUCAUAAAGAAAACAGAAUUUCCAGGGGAUGAGUGAAACUAGGGGUCAUUACAUGAAACAAACUAAGGUAGGCCCAGAAAAAGACUUCUCACUUGUUUGUCCUCAUAUGUGGGACACACAUGAAAACAGAUGAUGAAGGAGACUGGAGGAGUGAACGUCACAGUACCAGAUUACCUGAAGAAAACAUCACUAAUAGAACCCAUUGCUCUUUACUAAUCAAAAUUGAAUAACUGGAGAAAAGAAGUCCUCCUGCGGGCAGAAGCUUUGGGCUGUGACAGCCCGUGUAGGCUCCCCAAGACCUCUCUGUACUUGUGGCAUCCUCUGUGGAGUUCACCUUGUUCUCUUUAAUAAAUCUGUUGCUACUUGU